UACGGGGGGGGCAAGCGUUGUUCGGAAUUAUUGGGCGUAAAGAGCUCGUAGGCGGCCUGUUGCGUCCGCUGUGAAAGCCCGGGGCUUAACCCCGGGUCGGCAGUGGAUACGGGCAGGCUAGAGGUAGGUAGGGGAGAAUGGAAUUCCCGGUGUAGCGGUGAAAUGCGCAGAUAUCGGGAGGAACACCGGUGGCGAAGGCGGUUCUCUGGGCCUUACCUGACGCUGAGGAGCGAAAGCGUGGGGAGCGAACAGG
rnacentral:rRNA from 1 species